GUCAGUUGCUGGCCAGACCUCCCAAAGAACUGCCACUCCAGGUUCCUGUCUGCAAGCACCUCUUGACCACAGGAACAGUGUCUGCUUUGGUUUCUGCAGACAGGAUGGAUCCCCAGUGUGGGAUGCUAUCUGAUAAAGUCAUUUCUCGCACAGUGAGAGGAGCAUUGGAUCAUCAGAUAUUCAUGUUCUGUAGUACCAGGAAGCAUUUGUGAACUCUGAAAGACCAAUCAGGUGCCGAUCUGAUCCAAUACAAUCACACAAGAGUCUUUAUUCACAAGUUCAAACUCGGGCUUAAGUCAUGCUGACACACAGGAUGGUUUCGGUGGAUAAAAGCCCCAAACACUCUUCAGGACAAGAUUUUAUAGGAAAUAUCAAGAGAAGGCUGCCAGAAUCUAGCACUUCAGAAACAAAGUACCAGAGAAACAAAUGGGCAGCAAACAUCAACUCUGAAAAACAUUGUAUCUGAUCUAUUCAGCUUGGAUAGUGAAUUUCUUUCCAUAAAUAGUUAAUAAGAUUAAAAUAUUUGGUGCACAAUUUAAAAAGAAAGGUCAUGGGGAGGAAUAUCCAGAGGAUGAUACUUUGCCCCAGGAAAAUGUACAGCUCAUUGCCUACGUUAAAUGACUAUGCAACUGCACAAGAACCUAAGAGAUGGUACUCACCACUCUAAUAUAAGGAGCACACAGCCAAGCUUUGUGAUUGUUUUUUUUUUUUCCACAAAUUGCUUGGUUUUUUUUUCCCUAAAAUGUUCAACAUCAGUUAAACAUUACCAGAAAAUAAAUUAUUACUCACC
rnacentral:lncRNA from 1 species